GCGGCUUUUUAAGUCGGAUGUGAAAUCCCUGAGCUUAACUUAGGAAUUGCAUUCGAUACUGGGAAGCUAGAGUAUGGGAGAGGAUGGUAGAAUUCCAGGUGUAGCGGUGAAAUGCGUAGAGAUCUGGAGGAAUACCGGUGGCGAAGGCGGCCCCCUGGACAAAGACUGACGCUCAGGUGCGAAAGCGUGGGGAGCAAACAGGAUUAGAUACCCUGGUAGUCCACGCCGUAAACGAUGUCUACUAGCUGUUCGUGU
rnacentral:rRNA from 1 species